AAGUGCACAGCCUGCGUUUACCUUGGGUGAACACUGGGUCUGGGCAAUGCGCAAAGAACUGAAGGGGACAAGCUAGAAAAGGGCUCCUUGUCUGCCUCUAUAAACCACGUGUGUGUACGUCUCAGCGAGCCCGUGGAUAAAAAAGGCAAAGAAGCAGAGACCAAGAGGGAGCGCCUAAGAGGCACAGAGAAAGAGACAUAGAGAGACAGACAGAGGAGAGCCCAGGCGCAGGGGAUGGGGCAGGCAGAGCAAGCACUUCCUGGUGAACUAGUCCCCCUGUGAUUGGCUGCUCCUAGAGAACAGUUUCCCUGGAGGCAGUUGCUGUGCAACUGCUUCCUGCAAUUAACUGACUUGAUUGACUUUGUCUGUUUCUCCCCCUCCCUUAACCUCUUGUUUGCCAAGCCAUCUGAGGAGCCACACCUUCUCCUGCAAGAGCAGGUCCCUCGUGGCGGACACAUGUGCAUCUCAAAGUGCAAAGCCCCACUGGGAAACAUCAGUUUGGGGGUCAUGAUUUCACGUAGUGCGUGAGCAGUUGGCUUAAGAUGAGCAUACUGGCUCUUGGAGAGUUGGAACACUAGCCCCAAACACAGAACAACAUGAACUGAGACGGGACUCAGACCCAAGGCAGUCGGACUCUAGAGUCGAGUUUUUAAUUCAAGCUGGGGCCGGAGGAGAGACUCAACUUUGCUCUGAGCCACUGACGAGCUGUAAAGUGAGAUACUUAUUUGAAGUAAUAAAGAGGUAAUUCUUUACCUAGGUUAUCCUAAAUGUUUCUCAAGGGAAAGUUUUCUGCAUUUCCUUGUUAUAACUAAUCAUUCUACCAGAAUAAGACUUGCAUAACGUUAUCUAUUAGAAAAAAAAAAAAAAAGAGGUUAAAUAGAAAGACAAGUGACUGAGUGACACCACUGAGAAUUCUUUAAAGAAAGCAACCAGCUCAGUGGGGGCACCUAUAUUUAGCCAACGAGUCAGACACAUUUUCUUACCUAGGA